rnacentral:tRNA from 1 species
GGUGAGAUGGCCGAGCGGUCUAAGGCGCUGUGUUCAGGUCGCAGUCUAGAAAUAGGCGUGGGUUCGAAUCCCACUCUCAUCA